rnacentral:misc_RNA from 1 species
GUAUAAAGUUUAUAGGACAGUUAAGCCCAAUAAUAACAUUCAUAGACAUACUGAAGGGGUAUAUAAAAACAUAGACCGGAAAUGUAAGGAAAGCCGGCUUGACGCACAGCAGUCCUCAUACCGAGUUUCCUCGAGAGAUAUCCAGGUCUACAAAAGGUGCACAGGUGGUAAAAGGUUGGUGUUAGGCGUGCACAUGCUCCGAAAAGCCAGCAACAACCCAACCAAGCUUAUUCAAUAAUGAUCCUUCCGCAGGUUCACCUACGGAAA